rnacentral:rRNA from 1 species
GACGAACGCUGGCGGCGUGCUUAACACAUGCAAGUCGAGCGGUAAGGCCCUUUCGGGGGUACACGAGCGGCGAACGGGUGAGUAACACGUGGGUGACCUGCCUUUAGCUCUGGGAUAAGCCUGGGAAACUGGGUCUAAUACCGGAUAUGACCCUAUGGCGCAUGUUGUGGGGUGGAAAGCCUUGUGCGGCUAGGGAUGGGCCCGCGGCCCAUCAGCUUGUUGGUGGGGUGAUGGCCUACCAAGGCGACGACGGGUAGCCGGCCUGAGAGGGCGACCGGCCACACUGGGACUGAGACACGGCCCAGACUCCUACGGGAGGCAGCAGUGGGGAAUCUUGCGCAAUGGGCGAAAGCCUGACGCAGCGACGCCGCGUGAGGGAUGACGGCCU